rnacentral:rRNA from 1 species
UACGGAGGGGGCUAGCGUUGUUCGGAAUUACUGGGCGUAAAGCGCACGUAGGCGGCUUUGUAAGUUAGAGGUGAAAGCCCGGGGCUCAACUCCGGAAUUGCAUUCGAAACUGGCAGGCUUGAGUACGGGAGAGGGGGGUGGAAUUCCUGGUGUAGGGGUGAAAUUCGUUGAUAUCAGGAGGAACACCGGCGGCGAAGGCGGCCCCCUGGCCCGCAACUGACGCUCAUGGUCGAAAGCGUGGGGAGCAAACAGG